rnacentral:rRNA from 1 species
CAAUAGCGUAUAUUUAAGUUGUUGCAGUUAAAAAGCUCGUAGUUGGAUUUCGGGUAGGAUUUGCCGGUCCGUCUUUGAGAUGUGUACUGGUAAGUCCUAUCUUCUCGUCGGGGACCAGCUCCUGGGCUUCACUGUCCGGGACUGGGAGCCGACGAAGUUACUUUGAGUAAAUUAGAGUGUUCAAAGCAAGCCUACGCUCUGAAUAUAUUAGCACGGAAUAACACGAUAGGACUCUGGCUUAUCUUGUUGGUCUGUGAGACCAGAGUAAUGAUUAAGAGGGACAGUCGGGGACAUUCGUAUUUCAUUGUCAGAGGUGAAAUUCUUGGAUUUAUGAAAGACGGACUUCUGCGAAAGCAUUUGUCAAGGAUGUUUUCAUUAA